rnacentral:rRNA from 1 species
GACGAACGCUGGCGGCGUGCUUAACACAUGCAAGUCGAGCGGUAAGGCCCUUUCGGGGGUACACGAGCGGCGAACGGGUGAGUAACACGUGGGUGACCUGCCCUCAGCUCUGGGAUAAGCCUGGGAAACCGGGUCUAAUACCGGAUAUGACUCCAUGACGCAUGUUGUGGGGUGGAAAGCCUUGUGCGGCUGAGGAUGGGCCCGCGGCCUAUCAGCUAGUUGGUGAGGUAACGGCNCACCAAGGCUAUGACGGGUAGCUGGUCUGAGAGGACGACCAGCCACACGGGGACUGAGACACGGCCCCGACUCCUACGGGAGGCAGCAGUGGGGAAUUUCCGCAAUGGGCGAAAGCCUGACGGAGUGACGCCGCGUGGGGGACG